rnacentral:tRNA from 2 species
GUUUUCAUAGUUUAAAUUAAAACAUUACACUGAAAAUGUAAAAAUAAAUUUUGAAAAUA